rnacentral:rRNA from 1 species
UGAGGAGUAUUGGUCAAUGGGCGCAAGCCUGAACCAGCCAUCCCGCGUGCAGGAAGACGGCCCUAUGGGUUGUAAACUGCUUUUCCAGGGGAGAAUUUUUCUGUCGUGACAGGAAUUGACGGUACCCUGGGAAUAAGCAUCGGCUAACUCCGUGCCAGCAGCCGCGGUAAUACGGAGGAUGCGAGCGUUAUCCGGAUUUAUUGGGUUUAAAGGGUGCGUGGGCGGAUUGAUAAGUCAGUGGUGAAAACCUGCAGCUUAACUGUAGACUUGCCGUUGAUACUGUCAGUCUUGAGUGUGGUCAAGGUAGGCGGAAUGUGUAAUGUAGCGGUGAAAUGCUUAGAUAUUACACAGAACACCGAUUGCGAAGGCAGCUUACUGGGCCAUUACUGACGCUGAUGCACGAAAGCGUGGGGAUCGAACAG